rnacentral:rRNA from 1 species
GAGUUUGAUCGUGGCUCAGAACGAACGCUGGCGGCGUGGAUAAGACAUGCAAGUCGAGCGCUGGCUUCAGGGUAGCAAUAUUCUGAAGUUGGAGCGGCGCAAGGGUGCGUAACACGUGGGUAAUCUGCCAUGAAGUCUGGGAUAACUCGCUGAAAGGCGAGCUAAUACCGGAUGUGAAAAUUGGAAGGCAUCUUUCGAUUUUUAAAGUUGGGGACCGUAAGGCCUGACGCUUCUUGAUGAACCCGCGGCCUAUCAGCUAGUUGGUGAGGUAAUGGCUCACCAAGGCUAAGACGGGUAGCUGGUCUGAGAGGACGACCAGCCACACUGGAACUGAGACACGGUCCAGACACCUACGGGUGGCAGCAGUCGAGAAUUUUUCACAAUGGGGGAAACCCUGAUGGAGCGACACCGCGUGGGGGAUGAAUGGCUUCGGCCCGUAAACCCCUGUCAUUCGCGAACAAUGCGCAUUAUUUAAAAGAUGAUGCGUUGAUAGUAGCGGAAGAGGGAGGGACGGC